ACGAACGCUGGCGGCGUGCUUAACACAUGCAAGUCGAACGGAAAGGCCCUGCUUUUGCGGGGUGCUCGAGUGGCGAACGGGUGAGUAACACGUGAGUAACCUGCCCUUGACUUUGGGAUAACUUCAGGAAACUGGGGCUAAUACCGGAUAGGAGCUCCUGCUGCAUGGUGGGGGUUGGAAAGUUUCGGCGGUUGGGGAUGGACUCGCGGCUUAUCAGCUUGUUGGUGGGGUAGUGGCUUACCAAGGCUUUGACGGGUAGCCGGCCUGAGAGGGUGACCGGCCACAUUGGGACUGAGAUACGGCCCAGACUCCUACGGGAGGCAGCAGUGGGGAAUAUUGCACAAUGGGCGGAAGCCUGAUGCAGCAACGCCGCGUGCGGGAUGACGGCCUUCGGGUUGUAAACCGCUUUCGCCUGUGACGAAGCGUGAGUGACGGUAAUGGGUAAAGAAGCACCGGCUAACUACGUG
rnacentral:rRNA from 1 species